AUACGUAGGGGGCGAGCGUUGUCCGGAAUGAUUGGGCGUAAAGGGCGCGUAGGCGGCCCGGUAAGUCUGGAGUGAAAGUCCUGUUUUUAAGAUGGGAAUUGCUUUGGAUACUGUCGGGCUUGAGUGCAGGAGAGGUAAGUGGAAUUCCCAGUGUAGCGGUGAAAUGCGUAGAGAUUGGGAGGAACACCAGUGGCGAAGGCGACUUACUGGACUGUAACUGACGCUGAGGCGCGAAAGUGUGGGGAGCAAACAGGAUUAGAUACCCUGGUAGUCCACACUGUAAACGAUGAAUGCUAGGUGUAGGGGGUAUCGACCCCUUCUGUGCCGCGGUCAACACAAUAAGCAUUCCGCCUGGGGAGUACGGCCGCAAGGUUGAAACUCAAAUGAAUUGACGGGG
rnacentral:rRNA from 1 species